rnacentral:misc_RNA from 1 species
GGAAGUAAAAGUCGAAACAAGGUUUCCGUAGGUGAACCUGCGGAAGGAUCAUUAUUGGAUUUUGAAACUUCAGGCUGCUGCUGGCUCUCCUCGGAGGGCAUGUGCACGCUUGUUGUCCAUUAUUUCUCCCACUGUGCACAAAUUGUAGACCUUUCAGUAGGCCUAUGUUGUUUUUCACAAUCUCUGAAUGUAAUAGAAUGGUUUUGAAUCUUGGGAAAUACAAUACAACUUUCAGCAACGGAUCUCUUGGCUCUC